rnacentral:rRNA from 1 species
GAUGAACGCUGGCGGCGUGCCUAACACAUGCAAGUCGAACGAGAUGCGUAUCGGAAAGCUUCGGCCGGAAGAUACGUUAUCUAGUGGCGGACGGGUGAGUAACACGUGGGUAACCUGCCUUAUGGAGGGGGAUAACAGAGAGAAAUCACUGCUAAUACCGCAUAAGCACACAUUGCCGCAUGGCAGAGUGUGAAAAGAUUUAUCGCCAUAAGAUGGACCCGCGUCUGAUUAGCCAGUUGGCAGGGUAAAAGCCUACCAAAGCAACGAUCAGUAGCCGAUCUGAGAGGAUGACCGGCCACAUUGGGACUGAGACACGGCCCAAACUCCUACGGGAGGCAGCAGUGGGGAAUAUUGCACAAUGGGGGAAACCCUGAUGCAGCGACGCCGCGUGAGUGAAGAAGUAUUUCGGUAUGUAAAGCUCUAUCAGCAGGGAAGAUAAUGACAGUACCUGACUAAGAAGCCCCGGCUAACUACGUGCCAGCAGCCGCGGUAAUACGUAGGGGGCAAGCGUUAUCCGGAUUUACUGGGUGUAAAGGGAGCGUAGACGGAAUGGCAAGUCUGAAGUGAAAACCCCGGGCUCAACCUGGGGACUGCUUUGGAAACUGUUGUUCUAGAGUGUUGGAGAGGUAAGUGGAAUUCCUGGUGUAGCGGUGAAAUGCUUAGAUAUCAGGAAGAACACCGGAGGCGUGUGCGGGCUUACUGUACAAUACUGACGUUGGAGGCUCGAAAUGGUGUGGAUCGAACAGG